rnacentral:lncRNA from 1 species
UUGACUCACACUUGAGGGGGAGUGUUGAGAAUAUAACAAGUCUGAAUAGUGUAGAUAAUAGUAUCAUAUUGGUUCGAAAUGUGGAGACUUGAGCAUUUAUGUGUAAGAUAAUCCACCCGUUUAUCACCUUAAGAUUUUGAGUGAAUAUGUGGCGUCUCUCACAAAGAUAUUGCUCUAAAAAGAAGAAGUCUCACAAUAUUUAAUAAUCUCUAGUAAAAAUCCCCUUCAACUGUUUAAUUCUUCUUUGUUGGUUGUUUCUUGCGAGUCUUUUUUCUCAAAAAUGUAGUGGUGGGAUUGUGGGAGCAUCUAUUUCAAAUGUUGGUGGUUGGUGUUUUUUUUUCUUUCUAUAGCAUUUGAUUUUGCUAGAUACUCCUUAUACAUUUCUUUCUGAUUUUUGUGUUAACCUUUUUGAACUUUAUGUUGGAUGUUGUGUGAAUCUU